rnacentral:rRNA from 1 species
CAUGCAGUCGAACGAUGAACCGCUUUCGGGCGGGGAUUAGUGGCGAACGGGUGAGUAACACGUGGGCAAUCUGCCCUGCACUCUGGGACAAGCCCUGGAAACGGGGUCUAAUACCGGAUAUGACUGUCCAUCGCAUGGUGGAUGGUGUAAAGCUCCGGCGGUGCAGGAUGAGCCCGCGGCCUAUCAGCUUGUUGGUGAGGUAGWGGCUCACCAAGGCGACGACGGGUAGCCGGCCUGAGAGGGCGACCGGCCACACUGGGACUGAGACACGGCCCAGACUCCUACGGGAGGCAGCAGUGGGGAAUAUUGCACAAUGGGCGAAAGCCUGAUGCAGCGACGCCGCGUGAGGGAUGACGGCCUUCGGGUUGUAAACCUCUUUCAGCAGGGAAGAAGCGAAAGUGACGGUACCUGCAGAAGAAGCGCCGGCUAACUACGUGCCAGCAGCCGCGGUAAUACGUAGGGCGCAAGCGUUGUCCGGAAUUAUUGGGCGUAAAGAGCUCGUAGGCGGCUUGUCACGUCGGUUGUGAAAGCCCGGGGCUUAACCCCGGGUCUGCAGUCGAUACGGGCAGGCUAGAGUUCGGUAGGGGAGAUCGGAAUUCCUGGGUGUAGCGGUGAAAUGCGCAGAUAUCAGAGGAACACCGGUGGCGAAAGGCGGAUCUCUGGGCCGAUACUGACGCUGAGGAGCGAAAGCGUGGGGAGCGAACAGGAUUAGAUACCCUGGUAGUCCACGCCGUAACGGUGGGCACUAGUGUGGGCAACAUUCCACGUUGUCCGUGCCGCAGCUAACGCAUUAAGUGCCCCCGCCUGGGAGUACGGCCGCAAGGCUAAAACUCAAAGGAUUGACGGGGCC